AAUGAAAAUGAAAGGAAAAGGAAAGUACUUUUGCAACCCUAGAAAGUAAAGGAAACAAUGGGAUAUUGAACAAGCCAUAUGCGACCAUAACAACAACUACAAUAAUCUAUUUAGAGGGGAACAAAUACACACAUAGUGGCAUACUCCAACAAGUUUUAUAUUAUGAAUACAGGUGAUUGAGUAAACCAAAUCCAAAUAUGAAACUUGGAGCAAAGAUGAUUGUCAUAGUCCAGGGAAAUUCUACCUCAAAAUUUCUGGCCAU
rnacentral:lncRNA from 1 species